CCUACGGGUGGCAGCAGUGAGGAAUAUUGGUCAAUGGACGAGAGUCUGAACCAGCCAAGUAGCGUGAAGGAUGACUGCCCUAUGGGUUGUAAACUUCUUUUAUAUGGGAAUAAAACGUUCCACGUGUGGGAUUUUGUAUGUACCAUAUGAAUAAGGAUCGGCUAACUCCGUGCCAGCAGCCGCGGUAAUACGGAGGAUCCGAGCGUUAUCCGGAUUUAUUGGGUUUAAAGGGAGCGUAGGUGGAUUGUUAAGUCAGUUGUGAAAGUUUGCGGCUCAACCGUAAAAUUGCAGUUGAAACUGGCAGUCUUGAGUACAGUAGAGGUGGGCGGAAUUCGUGGUGUAGCGGUGAAAUGCUUAGAUAUCACGAAGAACUCCGAUUGCGAAGGCAGUUCACUGGACUGCAACUGACACUGAGGCUCGAAAGUGUGGGUAUCAAACAGGAUUAGAUACCCCUGUAGC
rnacentral:rRNA from 1 species